rnacentral:rRNA from 1 species
UCCAGACUCCUACGGGAGGCAGCAGUGGGGGAUAUUGCACAAUGGGGGGAACCCUGAUGCAGCGACGCCGCGUGGGUGAAGGAGCGUUUCGGCGCGUAAAGCCCUAUCGGCAGGGAAGAAGGAGGACGGUACCUGACUAAGAAGCCCCGGCUAACUACGUGCCAGCAGCCGCGGUAAUACGUAGGGGGCAAGCGUUAUCCGGAUUUACUGGGUGUAAAGGGGGCGCAGACGGCAGCGCAAGCCAGGAGUGAAAGCCCGGGGCCCAGCCCCGGGACUGCUCUUGGAACUGCGCGGCUGGAGUGCAGGAGGGGCAGGCGGAAUUCCUGGUGUAGCGGUGAAAUGCGUAGAUAUCAGGAGGAACACCGGUGGCGAAGGCGGCCUGCUGGACUGCGACUGACGUUGAGGCCCGAAAGCGUGGGGAGCAAACAGGAUUAGAUACCCCAGUAUAU